ensembl:lncRNA
UUUUUUGAGACAGAGUUUUGUUCUGUCGCCCAGGCUGGAGUGCAGUGGAGAGAUCUCAGCUUACUGCAAGCUCCGCCUCCCGGGUUCAAGCAAUUCUCCUGCCUCAGCCUCCCAAGUAGCUGGGACUACAGGCACAUGCCACCACGCCUGGCUAAUUAUUUGUAUUUUUAGUAGAGACGUGGUUUCACCACGUUAGCCAGGAUGGUCUCUAUCUCCUGACCUCGUGAUCCAGCUGCCUCGGUCUCCCAGAGUGCUGGGAGUUCAGGCAUGAGCCACCGCACCCGGCCCCCCAAAAGCAAAAAUUCUUGUGAUGCCCAGUGAGCUAGAAGAGCCUUAGUAUAUUUCUAGAAUAACAGGUGGAACACAAUCUUAACACCCUAAUUCUGAGGUUACUUUUAGAGUUGUGGCUUUUAUACUAAUGCUAACAGGUUUAGAGAAAUGAAACAUAAAAUUGCUUCUAAGUGGAUUACUCUGAGAAGAGGUGAUAGGGUGGGAUACUGGUAUUACUUGGAACAUUUGCAAUAAAGUUCAAAUGUUUAGGUUCCAACACUUAAUUUUAAGUGUGCAGCAGCAAAAUUUAGACAGAAAAUAUAAUUUGCAAAGUGGUCAUUUUCUCCCACACCUGGGUCUGUGUGUGUAUGUGCAUGUACAUGUGUGUGUGUUUAUACAUUUGCGGUUACUCCUUCACGCCAUCGGCAGUCACAGAAGUUCUUAUAUUUCAGACUAACAUGAUAGAGAUUUGGCAAUGCCCUGAAGUUGCACAGUGCCCACAGAUGGCAAAGCUUUUGCCAACUUUUACCUUUUUAUUUUUUGAUUGAUACAUCCAAGAUAAAGAAAAAACAUCUGUCAGCAAAUGACUGGUUAUGGACAGCAGUUCCAUUUUGCUGAUUAUUGAUUCGUUAUAUUUUCUUUGAUUUAGGGGAAUUUUGAAUGAAAAUAGAGUUUUCAUUCCUAGAGAUAAGGCACCAGUGUGAAGUGAAAAUAUGUGAUAUGUUAUUGCAUGCUUGUUUUGUCUUAGAAUGACCUGUUUGAUCUAUGAAGGCUUCUAUGAAUUUUAAUAUCUCAUGUAAGAUAAAUUACAUUGAACACAUUUUAUGUCAAACAUUGUAUGUCAAUGAUCUCAGAUAAGUUCUCCAAAUAAACCUGUAGUGUAGGUAUUACUAAACCCAUUUGUAGAAGGGAAAACUUAAAAGACAGAGAAGUUGGAUAAACUCAGAGAAUUUAAGUAAUUUUCCCAAGGUUUCACAAUUAGGCUGUAGCAAAGCAGGGCUUCCACUCCACAGUGGUUUUUAGACCUGUCCUCUUUCCAUCAUUAAGCCUCAAUGCUCCCAAUAACGCACUGAACUAUAAAGGUAGACACUCAUUUCUCUCUUCAGCAUAGGCCCCCACGCUUCAUUUUCUGAACAGACCUUGAAAAGUUAACCAUAUGAGUGGGCUAACCCUAAAGAGAAAUAAUUGGUUUGCCUCUGCCUUCAUUCUAGCACACACAGAAAUGGCACACCAAUAUGUCACAAAGGUGAAGAGCUCAGUUUCCCACCACAGCUUGAUCUGAAACCCUCACUGACACUAUUCCUCACUCAGCCAAGAUCAGCCUAUACCACACAAAAGACCUGUUGGAGACUGCAUAUUCCAUCAAUUUCACAAGAAGACUAAAAAGAGUUUAACCGAAUUAAAAUAUUUGUAAUAAUUUUUUGUGCGUUUUGCAUAGCUGUUGCUUAACAAAAUAACAGAAGAUUGGCAUAUUUUUACUGGAAAGUGGUAGCUUUUAA